GUAGCUUCCCCAGUUUUGCGCGCGGUAUAAAUUUUGUGAUCCCAUGCUAAUCGAGGUUGUAGCCUCCCCACUUAGAGUUUUGCUUAACGGGUGUCGUGGGUGAUUCCAGACACCGGUAAGUUAAGCUGGUGUGUGCAAGUCAGGUGUGUUUUCAUUUAAAAGACCGUAAGCGGAAUUAGUCCCGAUGGACUAAAGGAAUCCGUUACUCGUGGGUAAAGAGUACACCCUCUGCAGAGAUUAAAACCUAUUCGAAUAGCCGUGUCCAUGGUUAAGGACUACAGUCUGGGAUGGGUCAAGUGUCGGUCUUAGUGUCGGUCUUCGGAGGUGAAACUAUUAACCAGAACUGGAACUACUACUUGUGACUUGUGAUAAUUAUGAUUAUUAUUAUUGUUGACUAACCGUGAUAUUAUUGUUAUUAUCGAGUAUCUCUGGGAUGGUUCUACCUCCGGGAUAUUCACUAUGAUUGUUUCUUUUAAAGACCUUUAUGUGGUGUCGCUCAGACACUCGACUGUGGCAUUUCUUUUAAAGCCCUUUAUGUGGUGUCGCUCAGACGCCCGACUGUGGCAGUUCUUUUAAAGCCCUUUAUGCGGUGUCGCUCAGACGCCCGACUGUGGCAUUUCUUUUAAAGCCCUUUAUGUGGUGUCGCUCAGACGCCCGACUGUGGCAUUUCUUUUAAAGCCCUUUAUGUGGUGUCGCUCAGACGCCCGACUGUGGCAGUUCUUUUAAAGCCCUUCAUGCGGUGUCGCUCAGACGCCCGAUUGUGGCAUUUCUUUUAAAGCCCUUUAUGUGGUGUCGCUAAGAUGCCCGACUGUGGCAUUGCUUGAUAUUUAUUUCAUAAAUUUUAAUACUACUAUGUUAUUGCAUUUUUAUAGAUAACUUGCUUGCACGCAUCAGAGUUUUAUUUAUCUUUUGUGACUGACGUCAUGAGCAUAAAAUAUUUUCAGCACAUCAUUGUUAUAUUAUACCUGUGUUCAUAAUGUUUGCGAGUACAUUCAAAGUACUCACUGGCUUGUCCCUGGCUAUUGUCUUGGCCAGAUUUUCUUGCACGGAGAGGAGCGAUGCGAUGACAGCCCCGGAACCUAAGCAACAGAGAUAGCAGCCUCGCAGAGAUAGGAGUUAACCUGGUCAGCUGUUCCUGUGGGAAAUGGAGUCCCAUAGACACUGAUGAUCCAUAAACCGCUUCCGCCAUCAACCACUAGAAAUCAUUUGUUGUACUCACAGGCUAGAAUGGUCUUGUACCUCAUAUUUUGUAUUUUGCUUGGAAUUUCUGUAUCAAGUUGGAGACUCAUCAGCUAACAGUAAUCCUGGGGCUGAUGAGCACGACGGUCUUUUCUGGAAAUUUAUACCCGGAAAACCGGUCGUGACAGACUUGGUAUCAGAGCCAGGCUGACCAUUGGCUAAUCCUAUCUUAGCCAGGUCGAAAAACUUAGGCAAACCAACCCACCAGACCAUAACCGAACCCCAGCCAAACUUCUCAUGCAAGAUAGCCACACAGUGACCCUGACACUUUUGGCAGUCAGUGCCCAACCUAUCAACCUAGCCUGUCGAUCGCGCGCCAAUAAUCUGUCUUAUUCGUAGGCGUGCGAGUGAAGACUUCGUUCCCUUUUUCUAUAAAAAGGGCACGCUAGCCUCAACACAGCACAGCCCCGGCCAUCAACCAAAAUACCUUGAUGACCCCAGAAGUACUUCGUCGUCUUUGGGGAGCACACUCCAACGAGGUUGUGACCAACAAUCCCCACGAUGGUCAUCAUCGCUACCCCGAGCCUGCAGCCCCUCAACCCUCUCCAGCUAAUUCCGACGGUGAAAACCAUGGAGAAACCUCGGCGUCCGCGAGGCAAGCCCGCUUAGAUAUGAACGAGGUAGACUAAAAUCGCUCGAAUGAUACCGAGUCUUAGAAUGACCUCGCUUGGUAAUCUUGUGACCCUGUGUCACCGUAAUUAAAUGUUGGUUGCUUGAGCGCUCCUAUUUUUAAUAGUAGCCAUGCAUGAGUAUGUUGAUGUGCGAUUGCAUUUUUUUAUCCCGGGCGUAGCUGCCAACCUCGACGACGCAAGUUUGUGCUAUGAAUAAAUCUUUUGGUUCCAGCUCACAGGAAAGAUAUUUUCAAAACAACUCCUGACAAAUCUCGAGGACGAGAUUUUCUUUUAAGGGGGGUAGUGUUGUGACACCCCAAAAUUUUGACCUUGUUUUAUUAAUUAAAAUUUUGCCAGGAAAUUAAAACUUUUAUUUUCUAGGCUCCCUUUUUAUUUUUGAAACUUUUUCUCCCUUGCUAUUAUGGAGUUUUCCCCAUAGAGAAAACUUUUCAAAUAUGUUAUUGGACUUGUUUAACCUCUCAAGAAAAACUUUUCUUUUAUUAGUAUAACUAAUUACAUAAUUAAUUUGCUUGAUCUUUAUUUUCUUGAAAAAUGUUUUUUCAAGGUUAUAUGGCCAUAUUUGAACUAUAACCAUUUGAUAAAUUCACUUAAAAUUCCAACCAAAAUUUGGAGAUGUCAGGUGAUGUUUUUAAAUCACUUUUGUGCAAAAAUAUAUUUCUUUCAUUGAAUACUUUGACCUCUAUCCCAAGUUUUCAAAUCUGGUCCAGAGGACAGUUUUGCACUACAACCUAUUUAUUUAUUUCUUUAAAACUUCUACCAAAAGUUUGGGAUGUCAGUAGGAGCAUAUUAUUCAGCUUUAUGCAAAAAACCCAGCUAUGUUCUUUGAAAAAAUUGAGUGAAUCAACCUCUUUUCCACUCUGGUUCAACUUGAUGAUUUGUACAGCAACUAUAUUUUAAGUUGCUCCUUUAUCCAUUAUUCUUUUACCUAAUUGUAGUCCUCCAUACUAAACCCCUAUGUCCAGGAGCAUGCACCCAUUGGAUCAUUUUUGGUUCAUGAAGUGAUGCCAUUUGUCUCCUGUCCAGAAUUGAGUUUUUGCAAAACUUGCAGUAACAAGUUUCUGUAUUUUGCCAACUAACCUCACCACCCUUUUAUUCACCUAAUGAGACCACCAUCUGGAAUUCUUGACCACUCCAAGACCUGCCUAGAUGCCUCUGGCAUUUUGUCAAACACCCUGUGGGCAUGGAUAGAUUUGGCAUGAUUGUAAGUUUGUGUUGUGAACUUUCCCAUCUGUCCAAACCAGGUUGUCUAGUAGCCUUCUAUAUGUCUCUAACCUAGGCCUGUGGAUUUGCAUUAACUUUCUAGCAAGUUGGGUCGCCCUGGCAUUUCAUCGAACGAAUGCCGUGCACGCCCAGAGCACGAGCAGAGCACGCGUUUUGCACGUGCUCGCGCCCGAGCCAGCGCGCCCUUGGAUAAGCUUCCCCGAGCUCAUCCUGAUCCUUACCCACUCGCCACGUCGCGGCAAGAGCCCCGACCGCCUCCUCGCCCCCUGCAGCAUUGCUAGCAAGCUUCUUGGCGGCACGCUUGCGGCCGCAUCCGCCACCGCCAUGGGCAGCACCGCCCAAACCACCACAGCGUGCCAGCUCGCCUCCUUCGACAGUGGAGCGUUCGUCGGUAGCUCCUGGAGCCGGCCAGCUACCGCCACGUCGCCCUGCAGUACAGUAGGACGGUACGCCGGCGAGCUUAUCCACGGCCGCCGCGAACCGACUUGGGCGUGCUAUAAAGGGAGGUCCCAGGACUCCUCCGAGCACCCAGGCAGCCUCACGCCGUCCUUCUCGUACCCCCUUAGUCGUCAAUCGAAGCAAGGAGGUCGUCUUCAACCUCUCCGGUCAGCUCGGCCGCCGCCUCGUCCCGGUCAGUUCCGACGCACCAAGACCUCCCCUGCCCUCCCAAACACCACCAUCCGACUCCACUUGAACCCGCAGAGCUACCUAGCCUCCCAGACACAGCUAGGAACCACCAUCGCCGGAAUCCCCAAAUCCACCGAAGCCUCCCCUCCGCCGCGGAGCUCACCGCCGGCGACUCCCUCCACCCCCGGCGACCCUACGACCACCGGGAGGACCGCCUAGGAGUGGCAGAUCCAUCCCCGCCCUCGGGGCCCCGCGAGGAGCCGCCAAUCGCCGGCGACGAUCGCCGGAGCCCCUGCCUCUGUUCGGCCAAAGGAGGAAGGAGGCGGGGGAGACCGGUCAAACCUGACCAGCGGGCCCUCUGGACCCACUGUCAGCGACCCACCCCGCCGCCACGUGUUUAAGUGAAGGCGUACAACCCCCCAGUACGUUUUUCCUACACCGAAAACGUAUUCCGUCUGAAGCAUUUUCUGUUAUAUUUUUUUAAAAAAACAGAUUUUGACCACAACUUUGACUGCCUAUAACUUUUUAAAUACAAUUCCAAAUGAAAUGAUUCUUUUUCCUAUCUCUCUCAAAUUUGAUCUAGUUUAUUUUAAGAUUUAUUUCAAAAAAAUUCAGACAACCUUUUGGUACUAUUUUAAAACUAUAUAUUGAUUCAAAAAUACUUUUAAUUAGGAUUUUGAGAGAGGAGAAAGCAUUCAAAUGUUUUGGAGUGCACCCUGCCUUUCCACACAUUGAAGGCAAGCAUUCUGAACCCCGACAUAAUAUUUUUGGUGUGUUCAUUGACACGUUUAUAACACCACCUCAUUUCGAAGGACUUGUUAUUUCAUGUGAUAUGAUCAUUUGCAUGGAUGCAUAUUGGUGAUUUCCAUGCUGUUGGAAAUGAGUAUACUUGUGAUGGUAAUCAUCCUCAUGUAUCUUGCAUGCAUGCCGGAAAGGAAUCCAGGAAAGCCUCUGCCUUGGGUAGGCGUGAGCUUGUCGCCGGUCUCAUUGGGACGGGUAUGUCCGGUAUGGCAUAGUAAGAUAUAAUGAGUGUUGAUUGUAUUGGUUGAAAUAUAUUUGUUAUACAUGUCAUGCAGGAAACUAUAAACCUCCUGAGUCGACCGUAGACCGAGUCUUGUGCCAGUAACCCCCAUACUUGCUUUGUACUACCACUCGUCUCUACAACAAGUAGAGUACGGUUCAGUAAUUUGUCAACCCCUUUCUAGCACACACCGUACAGAGGGGCCGGGAUGUGGGUACCACGGCCAUGGAUUAAAGCCAGUCAUCCGGUCAGGGGGCAUGGGUGUUUCGGUUGUAGCCGAGGGGGUAGCUUCCCCAGUUUUGCGCGCGGUAUAAAUUUUGUGAUCCCAUGCUAAUCGAGGUUGUAGCCUCCCCACUUAGAGUUUUGCUUAACGGGUGUCGUGGGUGAUUCCAGACACCGGUAAGUUAAGCUGGUGUGUGCAAGUUAGGUGUGUUUUCAUUUAAAAGACCGUAAGCGGAAUUAGUCACGAUGGACUAAAGGAAUCCGUUACUCGUGGGUAAAGAGUACACCCUCUGCAGAGAUUAAAACCUAUUCGAAUAGCCGUGUCCAUGGUUAAGGACUACAGUCUGGGAUGGGUCAAGUGUCGGUCUU
rnacentral:lncRNA from 1 species